UACGUAGGGGGCAAGCGUUGUCCGGAAUCAUUGGGCGUAAAGCGCGUGUAGGCGGCCCGAUAAGUCCGCUGUGAAAGUCCAGGGCUCAACCCUGGAAUGCCGGUGGAUACUGUCGGGCUCGAGUCCGGAAGAGGCGAGUGGAAUUCCUGGUGUAGCGGUGAAAUGCGCAGAUAUCAGGAGGAACACCGGUGGCGAAGGCGGCUUUCUGGACAGAAACUGACGCUGAGGAGCGAAAGCUAGGGGAGCAAACAGG
rnacentral:rRNA from 1 species